CCCUGUCCAGAAAUCGUCCGAAAUCCUCUCUCUGAAUUUUACGGCCAAAACGUAGCGCGGAAAACGAGAUGGGCGAGAGGGGAGUGGAGAGGAAGGUAUCCGUAGAGAUAACAUCGCCGCUCGCUCCGUGUUUGCCACCAUGAUGUUUUCUCUCUCGUACCGAUGGUCUAAACAGACGACGGACAGAGACCGAUUGUCCGUCUUUAUCUAACUAACGCAUCUCUCACUCCUGCACAUAGCACGGAGGAGAACCGUAAUAUCGACAUAGCGCUGCUGAGAACCACGAAAACGUGGACAUUACCGACGUGGAAAAUGGACUUUGGCUACGUAGUUCAAGGUCCACUUUUCGUGAAUCACAGAGGCCCUCUCAAAAUAAAGUCGCACCUAAAAUCGAAGCAUGACCGCUCUCAGGUUCCUCUCUGCCCUAACCUUGCGUUGACUGCGUUAAGCCCGUAUCAGACUACGUAUUGGAAAUUGGGAUUGCAUUGAGAUUGCAUAUUGGAGAUUGGAUUUCGACCAAUCAGAAUACAGAAAGUAAAGAUUGAGAUUACAGAUUGGAAAUAGAGCUCAGUCUAUUUUCUCAAUCUUUAAUCGCAAUGUUAGCCAAUAACUUGGCGAUUCUUUGAUCAUGUGAUACAAUGUGACAGCAAGAGACAUGCAGAAGAAAGGUUAAGUGCGGAUACAUCAGAAUAUAUAAAUGGUUUAAGUAUGGCAGAUUAUGGUUAUUUCUUGAAAUUUUGAUGUGUUCAGCAAAACAGCUCCAUUAUUCUUUAUUAUGAUUAAUUUUUAAACUUAGAUCCAGAAAAGAACCAAUCAUGUUAAGAAUCACUGAGAUCUUACUGAACUGAAUUAUUUUCUGAACGUAGUCAUAGACUACGUUUACACGGCUUCUAACUUCGAUUUAGUAACGUUAAUGUUAUAACUCCUACUUAAAGUGAGGUCCUUUAGGCUUAUCUUCUCCCCACCAAGCUGAAGCAGCUUAAGAACUUUCGAGUCUUUGACUAUAUAAAUAUGGACUGCUAGGGGAGAGUUCCGGUAGCGCACAUCCCGAUAGCUCACCAACCAAUCAUCUUGACUUAUCUAACCCAACCUACGGAAAAUCUUUAGGCAUCUGCCAUUGUGAGUGCCUUGUGUGCUAUCGGCACAGUAUAUACAGUAGCGACAGUAGCUGUCGGCUUCUUUGAUGUCAAUGGACCUCGAUCACGUGACUGUCAGCCAUUUUAAGGAUUGUAUAGGAGGGCUGAAUUUAAACGAAAACAAGAGACGUUACAAUAUUUUGCAAACUACUUUUACAAUUCAGAUAAAUCCUAUAUAUGAUUUUCAAUAUACAACUAUAUAUACUAAAAUAGAUUUAUUUUUUUAAUGUCAAUGUAUUUCUGGAAUAAAUUAAUAAUAUUAUAACACAGUAUGUAAAGUGUGAUAAUUGUAAGUUAACAAUUUAAUGGCAAUCUCAGGCAACACAAGUUUAAAAUCGAAAUAUAAGGCAUCUUUAAAACAUCAUAACUUAAAUAGUCUGUAAGAUGUUUUAUAUCCCAAUUUUAGAUGUGUAUACAAAUUUAUGCUAUCUGGUAUUAGAAUAAGAAUAGGGAAAAUAAUAAAAUAACAAUAAAAAUUUA